CCCUAUGCUAAAGUAAAGUCCGUCCACGAAGCGUCUCGCCGCGACCGCCCGUUACAUGAUGCGUCGCCCUUCAGACGCCGGGGCUUUCUGAAAUGUUGCACAGUAGUAAUAUGACACACACUCGUCUCAGAAUCUAUAGAAGCCGUUACUUGAAUGUACUGUCGGAUUUUUCCUUCGUGUUCUGAUGUUUCAAUGGUUACACACACAUGCUACAUCAAUCUCGUCUCAUGUUACCUUUGAGAUGCUCGAGUGCAUCUAGCUACACCACAGAUGUUUGUGACAACACUCGCCACGUUUCGAAACGCAUUCAGAGGAAGUGUACCUGCCGGCUGAACCAGUCUGAGGCAGAGAGGGCCUCUUGUUGCUUUUGCAGAACUGAGUGUUGGAAAUCGGCUGUUUCGCUGGCUACGGAACAACGUAUAAGAGUGAAUGCCUAGACGCCUUUAAACUCACGUACGUUCCUUGCUUUGCUCCUUAUCUACCUCGUGAGCUCCGUGAACUUCGACCUGAGCAGCUUUCGUCAGACUGUGACUACGGAAAACAUUAACAGUCCCAAGGGAAGGCCUGGUAAGGCAGUUCUGUGAAGUCUCUGUUGGUUCAUCAAAACUUGACGCAGCGUCUCACACUUGUGUUGGAUCCUGCACAGGGAGUAGUGGAACUGGUCCGUUGCUUACGGGAGCAGCCGCCGCCUGCGCAGCAGGUUGCCCCGAUGUAGAUCGGGCAUGCUGAGAAAGACUAAGGGUCGUUGGCACCAAACAAGCCACCACACUGACUACCAGUAACAGGCGUUUCAUUGUCUAGAAAAACACUUGGAGCGAAACAACAGCUAGGUGAGAGAGGUGAAAGAAGAUGCCACUACAACGUGCAGAACAUAAU
rnacentral:lncRNA from 1 species